UAUGAUAAUUUCUUGUCUUCUCCAGGGGCCAGGGGCCUUGCUUAUAUAGUCCUCCUCCUCUGUGCGUUUUUGGUUCAGCAGGCGAUGUGGUACUAAACUUUCCACCAUAUCUCAUUAAAAUGCACAUAGGCCUUAAUGGACCAAAAUCUGAUUUGGGCCCAAUUAAUCCCGCAGCUCUUUUAUGUGGAGUCCUUGUUUUAUUAAUAUCUUUUGAUUCCGAACAAAUAUAGCAAGUAAUAUAUGCAUUUCAAUCAGCUCGACGAGAUCUUUGCAAUGGUGUACUCCAUUCUGUGAUUGGUGGAAACACCUGGGCGGGCGCCCAAGGGGGGUGGGCGGGCGCCCUGCCCCCAGGCCCGUUUGCAUUCUCGUUCGUUUCCGUGGCUUCUGGAGUCUUCUAGAUGAUAGAAAAUUGUGCGGCACAUUAAUAUCUCUAUGUAAUCCCGACGUGUGGGCCUUUCUUCCUUAUUUCCUGAUAACCCCCUGCAGAAAUAGACAAACACCAAAACUCAUGGAAUUCUGUCAGAUAAAACCCUAAGUCUAGAUGUUGAUUUCAUUUGGAUCCUUUUCUUUAUUUAUUUGAUAAUUAAAUUUGAUACUUAAGGACCGUCAACAAACUCCCCCAAGCUUACCUCUUGCUCGUCCCUGAGCAAGGAUGAACUCAAGAGUUUCUGCAGUGGUUUCAUUUCUUAAAAGUACACACGCAUUCAAGCAAGAUCUCAUCUCUGAGUUAGAAUAAACUGUUAAGACUUAAAACUUACUCAUUUUACCUUUUACCAUGGGGCUUGUAACCGUCACUUGUGUCUUGAGCAGUUAAAAGAUAGAACGGUCAAGUCAAGCGCCAUGUCUCUUAUUCUUGAUCAGCUAUAGCUCUGGGGUUUUUUGCAGAUUUUCAAAUAAAACUCAGAGAUUCCUUAUAUGACUCUCUCAGAUCUCUCUUUUGUGGUAUUUAUGGAUCCUUACCAAGGCAGUAAUGGUAUAUGCCUUCUCUCAAAGUAUGUGGUAUUUUUGGUAUGAGGCAUAGUGAUAUUGCCUUCUCUCUCACCCUACUCUAAUAAAGUUCUGAUAUCUGGAGCUCAUAGGUGGGAGACAGCUAAUACAUACUUACAAGACAUUUAUUGCAUAGUCAAACCAUGGAUCUAGAGAAACAAAUCAAUAAUCAAAUCAAGAUGUGCAUGUGUGGUGAAUGAAUGGUGUAUGGUGAUGAUGGUGAUAAUGAUGGUGAAAGUCUAAUUCUAUUUUUUAUGCUCUUUUGAGGGGAUACAUACAUUUCUUGUACUUUGAAGCUUUUUGGGGAGAAUGAGAUGCUCUAUAUUUUCUUUUUCUUUCCUCUCAGGUGGGUAUCUUGUACCCCUAAUUCUACUGUCGGACACUUGUCCAUUUUUACCUCUCGUCUCACUUUUUCUUUUCUUCGAGGUUCCGGGCACUUGCCCCUUUUUAUUUCCUCGUAUUAUUGUUAUUAUUUUUCUUUCUUUUUCUCUUUCUCUUUUUUUAGAGCACUCAUCUCCUGAAAGAAUGUAGCAAGUGGUAGUAACCAAAAUAACUGGAGCAUUUAUUUCACAGGGAAUAACAGGGAUAGGAAAAUAUUUUUUUUGCUAUUCUCUCCCGGAUUAGGAGUAGAAUAAUUUCGGGUGAAUGUGGAGAUGGAAAUGAGUGGAUGUAUGUGGAUGCGUACUUCCGGAGUAGAAGUAGCAAGUAUGAGUGAACGUGCAAGUGAAUCUUGAUUUUAACCACAUGACAAGCUCCUAAGGGUCUACACAGCUUGACCACACUCAAUGCUCAUAAGUAGUAAAAAGUAAAUAUGUGGCUCAAAGUCUAGCAAGCAUGUAUAUGUGGCUGUGGUAGGAUUUUAAACUCUCAUCAUAUAGGAACUCAUCAUGUAUUAUUUUAAAGAUUUUUUCAAAGAUAAAAUUCUCUAGAAUUCUAGCAUCUCUAGGAACAGAUAAACAGCAGCUCAACCUUCCCAUAUCAUAUCCGUUAACGACUUAGACUUUAGAUCAAGUACUCUUCCCACAAGUUUAGGUUUAGAGCAAGCUUUAAAUUAUAACAGUUAUGCCUAAACUUGAGAGAGAUUUCAAUUUUAAGAACUAGUCAAGGCAGAGCAACUAUUCAUCAUUUCCAUGAGAGAGCUUAUCAUGAGGGUUCAUAGCAAAUUUUAUUUAUUUAUUUAUUUAGCAAACUAAGCAAAGAUAUAUAUAUAAAAGCACAAAAUCUUUAUUUGGGUUUUUCAUAGUUUAUGUAUUUUAAUAUUCUAACAUAAUAUAAGUAUAAAGAUAGGUAGAAAUACUUAGCGAGAUAAAUGGGGGUGCUCUCCCCCAAGCUGAAUUUUGACGUAAUUUCUUCUGAUGUAGCUAGCAGGUGAUGGAGGUGUAUUUGAAAGUCGACAGCACCCCGACAGCGAUUAGGAUGUCCUCCGUCUGCUAGUCUUCUUUGAUCCUUGAAUUCUGUGGAGCUCAAAUAGACAACAAAGCUUUGUGGAACUGGUUAAGUGUUAGCAUAAAUAUCUAGCCUUUAUCAUGUUGAGCCUCCUCAAUAUUACUUAUUUAGCAGGAUCAUGCACUUAUUAUUUUUAUAUUUUUAUUGUAAGAUGAAAACUUAUUUAUUUUAUUUUCAUGCCACCACAGUGAAUGUACUUAUGGGUUUUAUGCCAUGAGCAUACUCACAUGGGGCUUACUAUUUUUUAACAUUUAUUUUCUUUUCAAGAUAGCAUGAACCUGAUUAACUAAGCAAACUAUUGAAUGGAAAAGGAUAACUACCAAGUUUACCUCUUGGCAAGGCGUUCGGUAUUUUUAAGUCCUCCGAACGGGACUCUCCGUUUUCUUAGUCGUCCUGGGAUUCGCUAGGUGGCGUAGUCGGUGAUUCCGGCGGCGCCUCUUCGUCGUGUAUAACUAUCUUCUCUCUCCACACCUGACUCGGUGCUACGGUCUCCUCAGGACAGUUCUGUUCAAGCCGUAUGUGUUCAGACCUUAUCACUUCUUCUUCGUAGUCUACCCAUCCGUCCUUGAUGAUCUGCCUCCUCUGGUUGCGGUUGCGUUGUCUUCUUCUUGUCCUGACCUGCUUAGAAUCUUCAACUAUAUAGUUAGAAUCAUUAAAGUAGUGGCGUACCUUCUCAGAGAGGAAGUGCAUGUGGACUUCUCCGGUUCCAAUAUAGAUGAUGGCUUUGAUAGUGUUGAGGAACGGUCUUCCAAGGAUGGUGGGUGGAUCAUACUCGUCUUCUCCCAUGUCAAUGACCUGAAAAUUUUCUAGAGCUGAAUGUAUGCUGGUUGUAGGAGCAUGGUUCCAUACAGGAGCUGAUAAGUGACUGCGGCCAUUAUGUUGACAUCAGAUCCGGUGUCGUAGAGUGUCUUCUAAAAAGAGUAUCUGUUGAUUGUGCACUCAAUACUUGGAACACCAGGGUUGUCCUUCUUGAUCAGGAAUGGCGACUUGAGUCGACGAUCUUGACCUCUUUGAACUGCAGUGACCAUCUUAGCUGACUCAGUCCACAUUUGCUUGUUCCUGUUCCUCCUGUUGGUCCUCUUCCUUGGUUCAUGUCGGGUUUGCUCCGAAGCUUGUGUAGUCUUGUUCUUGAAGGAAAGUCUCCUUCUUCCCCUUGAUGUAGAGACUGAUCUUGGCAGCAUUAGCGUAGAUGACUGCUCUGGUGUUUAGGAAUGGCCUCCCUAAGAUGAUGGGUGCCCUCUCCUCAGUACCAGUCUCUAUCACCAUGAAGUUUGCUGGAGCGUACAAGGUACCAACUCGGACACAGAGGUUCUUCAAUAUUUCCUUUGGGAAACUAAGUGUCUGAUCUCCAUUGUGUUUGUGCUCGUAGAUCCCGGUUCUUCACUUAGUGGAAUCUGGGAGUUGUAAAACUCCUCCAUGUUUUGUUUGAAGUGUACCUAUUCAUGGAGACAAGGCAGGGAUCAAGUGCAUGGGCCCUGAUAGCAAGCAGCGGAUAGACAACUCCAAACUUCGGGUAUUAACUUCACUCUACAGGAUCCAACUGACUGGUUGAUCACAAGCCUAACACUCCUCCUUGAUCCAUAUGCUCUUGCUGAUCUUGCUAGUCUUACUGGUUGUUCAAGGCUCUGAUCUUAAUCACUGAAGUACUGCUCUCCGACUUGUGGAAGCUUUCCUUUCUUAGUGGUUGUGCAUCGUGUUUGUGGCACCCUCCAUGAAUCAUCUCUUAUGAGCUACGUCUUUCUUGUGCAAAUUGUUAAACUUCAUGUGUCACUUUCUUCAUCUCCAAUGUGAGUUUAUCUCAGGACUUCCCAGGUUGAUAUUGAAAGUUCUCCUGCAGGGGUUAGUCCCACAAAAUAUAACAAUAUCUACUCAAGCAGUUUUUAGUUCAGUAACCAAACUAGACUCCAUGUCUAAUCAGAUUAAGGAAGGCUAUUUAACCUAAGCACCACGCUUAAUUUAAAUGCCAUUGGAAGUGUGUCCAGUACUUCCAAACUAACACUUACUAGGAUAAACAAAGGUAGCAUGAUGGCUUUUAUAGAGAUCUACUCAAGUGGAGAUGAAGUAGUGUGAUUAGUAUUUAACAAAUUGAGCAUGUCUCAAAGGUAAGGACAACCAACAUAGUAACAUGGCAAAGGAUGUUUUAUGUAAAGUACUCCCCCAAGCUUAAAUUUUGCAAAAUUCAAGUUUGGAUGAAUUUAAUUCAAUGUUGUGUGAUGGCUGGUUGGACAUACCUUGUGCUUGUCAUUCAUCCGAUCUUCUUGCUCCAAUCCUGGAAAGGUUAGUGACAAGAAUACCCGAAGGAAUAUUUCUACAAUUAUCUUUAUAUGCUCAAUACACAAGGCAAUGUUGCAAAUAAUUAGAAGUGCUUGUUUUAGGACACUAAGCUUGUCCUUGGGAAACCAUCAAUUAACUAAACGAGAUCUGCAAUAUUUAUUAUAGACAUAUGCAUCGACAACCGCCCUUUAAAGUUUUUAUAAAUAGAAAAGAAGAGGGGGUUGGAGAUCUCAAAUGUGGUAAUGUUGGAGAGACUAAUUGAAAGGGGAGAUGUUUUAUAUGAGCAAGGACUGGGUAAGGUAUUUAUGAAAUAACUUCCAUGCUCACUAUUGUUUCUCUCAUUCUCAAACUCCAAGGAUGAUUCUUCAUGAAUGCUUAAAAUUCCUCUAGGAUUGUCUCUCAAGUUUGUUUUAUCUAUCCAUUCAAUGGUGAUAGCACAUGGAUUUUUAAUGCCCUCUAGCCAUCGAUGUUGCUCUUCUCGAUCCUCCUUCUUAUGCAUGGGAUGUCUAGAGAGAUUCAUAGGAUUAUCGGGAGGUUCAAGAGAAAGAACAUAGUAGAAUUCAUUAAACUCUAGGAUGGGUUGGAUAGCCAAAUUAUGGGAUUGAAAUGUUUGGAAAUCGGUUAUUGAAACUUCCUCUUCUUGUAUGGGAGAUGAUUCCUUCUCUAUCUCUAAGAUUUUUCUAUGAAGACUAGUACAAGAAGGAUGUCCACGAAUGAAGACAUACCUUCCUUUACUAAUAGAUAAAGAAAGAAGGACUCUACCAAAGGUUAUAUGAUUAAGACCAAUGUGAAAAUAUUUAGGAAAAACAUGGUCUUGUAGGGCUAGGUCUAAACCAGAAUUUAUAGAAAGAUUAACAGAUUCCCUAGGUGUAGCUAAAAGUGCAUUAUCUUCUUGAUUAAAAGAUAGGACCUCGGCUAUAGAAAAGGGUUGGUUUUGACCUAUUGCAAUCAACUCCGGACACAGAUCAUAAUUAGGGGCAGGACGUGUUGACUCCCAUGGUCUAUGUCUGGUCUCCGAAGGUGCAAAGAAUUCAAUAAUAGGUAUGGAAUUUGAGUUAUCCAUAAAGAUAAAAAUAAAUAGAUAAAAGAAUAAAAGUAUAAAAGUAUAAUACAAGAUAAUAGCAAGAUUCAAAGUUAUCUCAGCAAACCGUCUUUCUCCCCGGCAACGGCGUCAGAAAUGCUUGUUGAUAUUUGGUAACGCAAUUAGAAAAUGAUCCGCAAGCGCACGGAUAUCGGUGAGCAUUUCACCCGGGAGGUUUUCCAGAGUAUCGUAUUUAUAUUUUUACCACUGGGAGAAAGGGUGCAUCUGACUAACCAAAUCUAUUGCUACUAUCCCUUUAGGCUACAAAGAAUGUCUCUCGAUGUGAGUGAUGUAUAGAGAAGACUGCAACCUUAGUCUCGUUCUAACCUUGGUAAGGAUGAUCUACUGUUCUAUUGGGGAGGCUCACGGAAUCUAGACAACACAAAGGUUGUUCGACCCGCACCUAUAAACCUACCCGUCCUACUAACGAGAUGUGAUCUGCAAAGGUAACUCGGAAAUGUCACGUUCCUCGCUACUACCACGGUCCAGCUAGUCAGGGGAUAUCUAUGAGUACCCUAGCCUAAACACCACGUUUAUGCUAGCAAGUGAUGACUCUAAUACUCAACCGGAAGAGGAUUAAAGUAAACUCAUAAACCAAAGAACAAUAAAACAAGAACUUACUAGAAUUAGAAGUCGAAUUACUGAAGAAUCUUAGAAGCAAGCCUCGGGUUAGGAGACUUGAUCCCGCAGGUACAACUCGGAGUAGACACCGACAGGCCGGCCUUCCUCCGAUCCACACCUCCACUCUAUCUCUCUCAAUCUAGUAGAAACUAGAAGAUCUAUUUCUACUUUACAUUGGAUGCUAAGCCUAAAAAGAAAUAUUAUUUAGAGAAGAGGUUUUCCUUCGAGGGCACCCCUCAAUCUCUAUGAUAAUUUCUUGUCUUCUCCAGGGGCCAGGGGCCUUGCUUAUAUAGUCCUCCUACUCUGUGCGUUUUUGGUUCAGCAGGCGAUGUGGUACUAAACUUUCCACCAUAUCUCAUUAAAAUGCACAUAGGCCUUAAUGGACCAAAAUCUGAUUUGGGCCCAAUUAAUCCCGCAGCUCUUUUAUGUGGAGUCCUUGUUUUAUUAAUAUCUUUUGAUUCCGAACUCCAAAUAUAGCAAGUAAUAUAUGCAUUUCGAUCAGCUCGACGAGAUCUUUGCAAUGGUGUACUCCAUUCUGUGAUUGGUGGAAACACCUGGGCGGGCGCCCAAGGGGGGUGGGCGGGCGCCCUGCCCCCGGGCCUGUUUGCCUUCUCGUUCGUUUCCGUGGCUUCUGGAGUCUUCUAGAUGAUAGAAAAUUGUGCGGCACAUUAAUAUCUCUAUGUAAUCCCGACGUGUGGGCCUUUCUUCCUUAUUUCCUGAUAACCCCCUACAGAAAUAGACAAACACCAAAACUCGUGGAAUUCUGUCAGAUAAAACCCUAAGUCUAGAUGUUGAUUUCAUUUUGAUCCUUUUCUUUAUUUAUUUGAUAAUUAAAUUUGAUACUUAAAGACCGUCAACACCAUCAUUGAAUUGACAUACCCCGACUGGGCCAUAGACCUCUGUUGUAUCAGCAUUGAAUCUGCCGAUGUAUUAGGCAUCUGAAAUAUUGAAUCUUGAGGAUUCCCAGUGUGAGGCCUUGCAGUAGUAGUUGUGGUAUACCGAGGACUCUGAUUCCCCGGCGCAUUGGGAGGCGCCGAUGCCAUAGUAGCCUUGCCCCUCGUGUCAGUUAUCUGUGAUGUACCCGGUGUUAAUUCUGGAGGCAUACCGUAACCCCACCAAUUGGGAGGAAGAGUCAACCCUGACAUUACCGAUGCCAACAUAUCUGUUGUCAGUUUAUUCUGCCCACUUGAAGUCUGUGGGUUGGUUGUCAUCCGCACAGAUAGUGCACCAGUAGCUCCCGAUGUACUUGGAGGGAUGUCAGAUUGUGCACUAGCAGCCGUCAAAGCAGCCGAUGGAGCCGUAACCUCUGGUGCCGUUGGCUGAUGAUGAGAGGGGCCCACAUAAUCUGGUGGGAUUUGUCCUUCUUGCCACGGCAUUGAAAACCGUAUUGGACAGUACACCAGCUUGGUUGAUCAAAGCUCGGUUGAUAGCACUGUCAACCAUAUCUUGAAGCUUGCCAGGAUUGGUUUCGAAGGUAACCUGCCGUGGUGCCGGCAGUGCAUCUUUCUGGAUCACCUCGCCACUCCUGUUUAUGCUGAAAGACCUCAGGCAUUGCAGCUUGAACUCUUCCAUGGCUUGGGCAAUAGCUUGCUUCUGCUCAUCCUUGAGAUUGGCCUCCGUCACGGGGAUGACGUUCUCUUGAUCAAAGUCAGAGAUCGACAUGUUGAUCUUGAUCUUGAAUCUAGUCCCACCGGGCAUGCCAAAAGAUGUGUUGAUGCAAAACUGAUCUGCAAACACAAAGGGCUAAUACCCGAUUGAAACGUUAAGGCGUGCCAGCCAAUUUGACCUUACUAUCAGCAAAGGUGAUAACUCGAAUACUUUAGUCCUAACAACAGCGAUGCGCCCGGAAGUCACGGCUAAGAGGUACUCACGCGGAACUCGAGAACACGCCGAGCUUAAGUCGACGAAUUCCUAAGAACUCGUAGUAAAAGAAAAAAAGUAUGACGAAGUCGUCGAAAAGUAGAUGCUGAAAUAUAUGAGUAAAACGUGUGUUUGAUUGAUUGAUAGAUAUCUCAUUACAAAGCCCUAGGGGUUCAUAUUUAUACCCUGCUCAAAGAGCUACAACUAAACACGACUAGAAUUCGAAUUCCAAAUUACACGGAAUUCGUAUACAAAACGACUUAAAUAAAUAAGGAAAUAACAAAGCUAUCUCCCGUGACGAACUAAAACUCUUCCAUAAACCGAUCAGCAGUUUCCGGACCCCUCCUCCGUAUCAUCGGCAGACUCCUUGUCAUAGUCAUCGGCAGACUCCCCUAUCGGCAUAAACACAUUACUGUCUGCAGACUUAGUCACAUCUGACCUCUCCUUCAUCGGCAACCAUCCUCAUCGGCAAUUCAUCUUGUAAAUAGCAUACUGCCACUUUAUCCUGCCAUCCUGGACACGUGCCCCAAAAAACGGUGUCAACAGAUGCUGAUCGCAGAAGUCCAAGAACUUUUUGCCGGUGAACUAGGUGCCGUUGUCGGUGAUGAUUACAUUGGGGAUCCCAAACCGGUGGAUGAUGUCGGUGAAGAAAAGGACGGCCUGCUCGGAGCGGAUGUUGGUGAUGGAUCGAGCCUCGAUCCAUUUGGAGAACUUGUCGAUAGCUACCAGCAAGUGGGUGUACCCCCCUUUUUGCCUUUUGCAGAGGCCCUACUAAGUCGAGCCCCCAUACUGCGAACGGCCAUGUGAUGGGGAUCAUCUGAAGAGCGUGGGCGGGCAGAUGCGUCUGUUUGGCGUAGAACUGGCACACAUGGCAUCAGCGUACGAGCUCGAUGGCAUCAGCUACGGCCGUUGGCCAGUAGAAACCUUGUCGGAAGGCGUUCCCUACGAGGGUCCGUGGAGCAGCAUGGUGCCCGCAAGCCCCCGAGUGUAGGUCCUCGAGGAGUUUCCGGCCUUCUUCCACGGUGAUGCAACGCUGCAAGACCCCCGUCGGGCUUCGUCGAUAUAGCUCAUUGCCCUCGCCAUAGAUCACAUAUGACUUGGCCCGUCGAGCGAUACGGCAGGCCUCAGAUCGAUCUUCUGGCAGCUCGCAGCGGAUUAGGUAGUCGAGGAACGGUGUGCGCCAGUCGAACAGUCAACCGGGCCGCUGUUCUACCUCCAUCACCUCAACUGCCAUCAAUAGUGCGUCGACGGUGUCGGUUUGCUGGGCAGGAGCGGCAUCGACGCCAGCCCUCGAGCCCAAGUCGACGGAUGGCUCGUGAAGACCUCUUGAGAAGGCGUCAGGUGGUACCGUGCCUCGGGUCGACGCAAUCUUGGCGAGUUCGUCGGCUGCCUCGUUGUAGCGUCGGGCGACGUGGACGAGCUCAAGGCCAUGGAAUUUGUCCUCGAGUCGACGGACUUCCUUGCAAUACGCCUCCAUUUUUGGGUCGUGGCAGCUUGAGGUCUUCAUCACUUGGUCGAUGACGAGUUGGGAGUCACCUCGGACGUCAAGGCGUCGGACUCCUAGCUCGAUGGCGAUCUUGAGACCGUUGACGAGGGCCUCGUACUCUGCGACAUUGUUGGAUGCAACAAAGUGAAUCCUGAUGACGUACCUCAUAUGAACGCCCAAGGGCGAGAUGAACAGCAGGUCGGCUCCGGCUCCCGUCUUCAUGAGUGACCCAUCGAAAUACAUUGUCCACAGCUCCGACUGGACCUGAGUCGGGGGAAGCUGGGAGUCUGUCCAUUCCGCGACGAAAUCCACCAGGGCUUGCGAUUUGAUAGCCUUGCGAGGCGCAUAAGUGAGAGUCUCACUCAUGAGCUCGACUGACCAUUUAGCUAUUCUUCCCGUGGCCUCCUUACUCUGGAUUAUCUCGCCUAGGGGGAAGGACGAGACCACCGUGAUAGGGUGGACGAGGAAGUAGUGCUGCAGCUUGCGUCGGGCGAGGAUUACGGCAUAGAUCAGCUUCUAGAUUUGGGGGUAACGUGCCUUGGUCUUGGAGAGCACCUCGCUGACGAAAUAGACCAGCCUCUGGACUGGCAACGCAUGCCCCUCCUCCUGCCUUUCGACCACCACCGCUGCACUGACAACCUGGGUCGUUGAGGCAACGUAAAGGAGCAGUGGUUCCGCAGGUUGAGGUGGGACCAGUACUGGUGCUGAGGUCAGUGUUUUCUUCAGAUUUUUGAGGGCUUCCUCGGCCUCGGGGGUCCAAGAAAAACGCUCGACCUUCUUCAGAAGUCGAUACAGCGGCAACGCCUUUUCUCCUAAUCUCGAGAUGAAUCGACUCAGCGCCGCUAAACAUCCCGUGACUCUCUGCACGCCCUUGAUGUCUCGAAUUGGCCCCAUUCUCGUGAUGGCCGCGACUUUCUCGGGGUUGGCCUCGAUCCCGCGCUGGGAAACGAUGAAUCCCAGGAGCAUGCCUCGAGGCACGCCGAAAACACAUUUCUCAGGGUUGAGUUUGAUCUGGUUGGCACGUAAGCAGUUGAAUGCGAUCUCGAGGUCCUGGAUCAAGUCUCCCUGUUGCUUCAACUUGACGACGAUGUCGCGACAUAGGCCUCGACCGUACGUGGCUCCCGCGUUUUCGAGCCCGAAUGGCAUGGUUACAUAGCAAUACAUCCCAAAAGGUGUGAUGAAAGAGGUCGCGAGCUGGUCCGACUCUUUCAUUUUUAUUUGAUGGUAACCAGAAUAUGCAUCAAGGAAAGAAAGGGUUUCACAUCCCGCAGUAGAAUCAAUAAUUUGUUCAAUACGAGGUAAUGGAAAGGGAACUUUCGGACAUGCUUUAUUUAAACUCGUAUAAUCGACACACAUCCUCAUUUUCCCAUUCUUUUUCUUAACUAGUACAGGGUUUGCUAACCAGUCGGGAUGGUGAACCUCCUUGAUGAAUCCGGCCGACAGAAGCUUGUGGACCUCCUCGCCAAUGAUCUUGCGCUUCUCCUCGUCGAAUCGGCGCAACCGUUGCUUCACUGGCUUGGAACCGGCUCGAAUUUCCAAGGAGUGCUCGGCGACUUCCCUCGGUAUGCCUGGCAUGUCCGAGGGACUCCAUGCAAACAUAUCGGCGUUCGCACGGAGAAAGUCAACGAGCACAGCUUCCUAUUUGGGGUCGAGGUCGGCGCUGAUCGUCAGCACCUUGCCGUCGGAGCUGUUGGGGUCGAGCGGGAUCUUCUUGGUUCCUUCUGCUGGCUCGAAGCUGCCCGCGUGGCGCUUGGGCUCUAGAGCCUCAGCGGCCAGAGCUUCGAGCUUCGAGAUGAGCUCGGUGGAAUUUUCGACCGCCUCCCCAUACUCGACGCACUCGACGUCGCACUCGUAAGCGUGCUCGUAAGCGUGCUCGAAAGAGGAGGUGACGGUGAUGACGCCUUUGGGGCCGGGCAUCUUCAGCUUCAAGUAGGUGUAGUUGGGUAUAGCCAUGAAUUUGGCGUAGCCCGGGCGCCCAAUGAUAGUGUGGUACGUGCCCCGGAAUCCCACCACCUCAAAGGUGAGGGUCUCCUUUCUGAAGUUGGCUGUCGUGCCAAAGCAAACUGGGAGGUCGAUUCGACCCACCGGUAGAGCCUUCUUUCCUGGCACGACGCCAUGGAAGCCGCCGGCGCUUGGUUGGAGCCGCCCCCUGUCGAUACCUAGGAGGUCGAGGGUCUCGAGGUAGAUGAUGUUGAGGCUGCUGCCGCCAAGAGCCGGGUGUUGACGAUGAUGGGGUCGACGACGAGCGGGUAGACGCCUGGGGCAACCACCUUGUCGGGGUGGUCUUCUCGAUCGAAGGUGAUGGCCAUGCUCGACCAGCUGAGGUACUAGGGCACCGCCAUUCUUGCUGCGAAGACCUCACGGCGUUCCCUCUUGCGCUGCCUUACAGUCAACUGCAUCGAGGGCCCACCAUAGAUCAUGUAGCAGUCGUGGACGGCAGGGAAACCAUCGUCGUCCUUGUUGCCCUCCUUGUCGCUGCCCUUCUCCUUCGUUGGGUCGUCGUGCGUGUCCUUUUUAAAUCCCAGACCGUCAAAAUGCUUUUUCAGCAUGCGACAGUCUUUGAGCUUGUGAUUGGCUCCUCCCUUAUGGUAAGGGCAUGGCUCCUCUAGCAUCUUAUCGAAGAUGCCUCCAUCUGGAGGACCUCAAGGUCUCUUGCGUUCCAUGGCGGCGACAAGAUUGUCGUCGAAGUCUUCUCGCGGGAACUGCCGCGCUUUCUGCUUCUUCUUGUUCUUCUUGGGCCCUCGACUGGGGGUCCCAUCUUCAUCGGUAGGCUGCUUGCCUUUCCUUCCUUCACAGCUAAAGAAGGCACCGACCGCUUCCUCCCCUGCUGCAUAAUUUGCCACUACGUCCAUCAGCUCAUCGACGGUCUGAGGGCGAUUCCGGCCCAGCUCCCGCACCAAGUCUCGACUAGUGGUAUCAGAGACAAAGGCCAGGAUGACAUCAUGGUCGGGUAUAUGUGGUAGCUCGGUGCGCUGUUUUGAGAAGCGUCGAGCAUACUCUCGAAGAGUUUCUCCUGACUUCUGCUUGCACUUGUUGAGGUCCCACGAGUUCCCAAGACGUAUGUAGGUCCCUUUGAAAUUACCCUCGAAAACCCUAACCAAAUCGACCCAGUCGUGAAUCUGGUCGGCUGGAAGUUCCUCGAGCCACCGACGGGCGGUGUCAGAGAGGAAGAGCGGUAGCUGUCUGAUGAAGGCUCGAUCAUCUCCUCAAGCGCCUCCUAGCUGACAGGCCAGCCUAAAAUCGGCCAACUACAACUCUGGUUUGGUUUCUCCGUUGUAUUUUGCGAUGCUGGUCGGGGGUCGGAAUGGAUUGGGCAGGGGCGUGCUGCGGAUCGCCCUGCUGAACACUCGUGGGCCUGGUGGCUCGGGGGCCAUCCGGUCCUCGUCACUGUUGUACGUCCCACCGCGAUGUGCGCUGUAGCCACGCUCUUCCGCGUCUCCGUGCCGACGGCGUCGAUUCUCUUCAAUGUCGCGUCGUGUGUCGUGCCGACGUUGGUUGUCGACGGGGACGACGAGCGUGGUCUUUUUUGCUCGAGGAGGUGGCUGCUGAUGGACCGACACCUCCUUUUCAUUUUGGGCCGGCUCGUCGCGCUUUUCAGUGGUAGCACCUCGACGUCGAGAAGCCGUGCUUUCGGCUUGUUGAACUGCAGCCACCUGGAGCAGCGUCUGAACCUCGUCUCGAAUGCGUCGAGCCUGAGAGUUUGAUGGUUCUGGCAUGUUGCGCAGCAGCAUUGUCGCUGCCACUACAUUCUGGCCUGCUCGAGGGAAGCGGCUGACGGGCUGUUCUGGCUCUGCGUCUCUGACGAUUUACCGGUGUACCUCUCGAGCUCGCCUAUGGACACUUCCGCCUGGCGGGUUAGGCAAGUCUUGCUCAAGGAUUUGCUCGAGCAGGACGAGGCGCUCACGAUCCUCAUCAAGCUUGGUCUUGAGCUCUCACAGUUGCGCAAGCUGCGCGGCCCUGUCUUCCUGAGGAAGUGGGUCGACCUGUCCGUCGCUCCCAGGCGUCCUGGGGUCUUCUCUUGCUGUAGGGGCUCGACCGCCAGCAGCCGCAUCCUGCGUCUCAUCGGUGGUUUCUACCGCCCCGUCGACGUGAUAGCAUUCCCUAGUAGGGUCGUAGCUAUCGGUCUCGUUGUCGGAGUCUGGCUCGGCUACGUAGAAACAUCCACGUCCCUCCUCCAGUAGCCGCUGCCUGAGUGAGGUGAUCGUGUAUCGCCCAAGGCCUAGGCGUCGGAGGCCUCGUUCCUGGGAGAAAUCUGGCAGCUCGGACGUCGACUGUUGUGCUUCAGAGUCAUGUGGGAGGACCAUUGGUCUCUCUACGUAUGUCUGGGCGUUUGGGCAUAUUGCCCUGGCGAGCGAUGCUGCGUCGUUGUCCAAUCCGACUGGCGGCGCCCUUCUUGGUGUGAACAACCCGUGUGGAAGUAACCCAGCAAUGGGGGAGAGCGCACGGGGCGCGUCGCCUCUUGUCGUCGUGUAAUGCCGGGCCGGCAUGUCCUUGGUUUCGGCACACGGCGCUGCCGGCUCUUGUGUCACCUCCUGCCUCGCGCGAACCGCCGGUCGUGACGGGGCAGAGGGGUGACGAUGAUGCUGUCCACGCUUCUUCUUGGGCGGAGAGGCGUGGUGUCGAGGGCGUCUCGGGGCCCUCAACCGUGCUGGCGCGACUCAGGCUCCUCCCGGUCCUUUGAUCGAGAGCAAGAUCAUGUCAUAGCCGGAGCCAGUCGACAUGAACUCAAGACUCCCAAACCAAAUCACCGUGGAGCGCGAAAUCAGCGAAGCAAGGGUGGCAAUCUGGAAAGGAGUGGGAAAUCGAUGAAAAACACACAGGACCCCUACCUGGUGCGCCAACUGUCGGUGUUUUCCCCAUGGGGGGUCACACCAACGAGUAAAUUUGUAUGCGUGCUCCCUUUCCCAGAUGGUGAUGCAAGAAGACACAAAGAUUUAUCCUGGUUCGGGCAAGAGAAGGCCCUACGUCCAGCGGGGGAGGGAAGUUUGUAUUAUCUUGCACCUAAGUGCUUGUACAGGGGCGAAUACAAGUGUGUAUAAACCGGGAUGGAGUAUGGAGACUUCUCUACGUGUGUGUUGUGUUCGUGAUCAUGAUGUCCGUGUUCACUUCCGGGUCUCCCCUUUUAUAGUUCCAAGGGGAGGCCUAGGGUACAUGUGUAGGUGGCAGACUAGGGGUCGAUAGAGGCAUGGCACGCUGACCUACUCGAGGCCUUCCGUACAGGCGUGGUCUCGAGCCGUCCCGUCCUGAUAGCUUGAUGAUGAUCACACGUGCCCUCAUAUCCCGCUUCGUACGCCAUCUCGGGCCUGUUUAUGUGUCGCACGCCUGUACGUCAUGGUGGCUGAAAUGUCAGAGCAGCGGCAGUGCCGUCAGUCGACGCUCAACCCUUCCCCAGGAAGGGAGCACGCCUAGUCGAGGGUCGGAUGCCAUGCGGCGCCUUGCUAUCCAGAGUUUUGACUUUUGGCGUCUCGAGGGGGUCCUGACUAGACGUUCCAUCCCGGCUUCCCGCGUCCUGACACGCUCUGGGUCAUCUGGUGGGGAAGGCUGCAGAAAGAAUGACGGGACGGGUGCCUGUUCCCCAUCACGUUUCCCGUGACUAGCGUGUUAGGUGGGAAAGCGACAGGCGCAUUAAAUGCCUGGGUUCUCGUGCGCGUGUCAGGCGGCGGGCGAUGUCCUCGCGCUCGAUGCCUCCUGAUUCGCUCGAGCCCAUUUCUGUAUUCGACGGUAGUUGACGCUCGACCCCCGAGCGGUUCGCUCGACGCCUUUUCCGUCUUCGAGGCUGCAGCCGUCGACGACUGUGUGUAUAGCUGAUUAGAACAUCGAGUUGGGGGCUUCGAUCUGUAUAAAGGUAAUCUCGUUAUGUGCAUCAGUUAGGAUACCCCUUACUGAUACCCUCGACAGCUUGCUUGGCUUCCAAGCAUGCGCAAGAGGAAGACUGCAGAAGAUGGUGGACAUUGGCCGAAACAGGGCGCCGACUGGCCCCAGGGUGGGGCCGACCGACCCCACUAUUGACGGGAAAUAAGACCCAGUUCUAUAUGCUCAAAAGCCCAUCAACAAUCCUCGAUUAAAGGAAGAUAAGCAUCACAUGAACAUAUUUAUCACUAAUAAAGUUCCACUUGUAGUCUUAGCUUGUUCAAUGUAGGGAAGAAGGAAAUGAGCCCUGUGGGCCCCAUAACCUCACUCGGCCGACCAUGGUUUGGGCCCCCCAGGGGCUCCCCUCCAUGGCAUGCUCCAAGGAGUCAAUCCCAACCCUUGGAUCCAAGUGUGCUUGCCCUCAACAGUUCAAACACUUAGCACAUUGAUCCUUGGGCCCACAUGGAAGCAAGCAAGUGUGCAACCAGACUCAACUUUGGGCAACACUUCACAUGACAAGUGGGGACACCACCAGGAGGCCAGUGGUGGACCAGGGGCCCCAAAGGUCGGUCGGCCGACCGACCAAUUGGGUCAUGCCACCUGGCCCAGCCUCCCAUCGACCUAAGGACCUUCCAGAAGGUCAGUGGGAGCCACUGUCAUCCAGAUGUCAGGUCGGCCACCCUACAUGUGGGCCCCAUCUUGAGUCGGUUCACUCCCACCGAUGUCCCCAUGUUGAACAUGUGAUGGAAAUCCCCAACCGUUAGCCAUAUGGCAGUUCCAAGGUGAGUUUAUCCAAUAGUGCAUGCUGGAGUUCACGCGGAUUGCUGACGUGGCGCUAGAGUAGCCCCUACUCCAUCUCUCCCCUAUAAAUACCCCCUUAGAGAUCCUAAUUAAGCAUGAUGUACCUUAGCAAGAGCUACUCUUAGCUAAGUGUGAGAAUGGAGGGAAGAGAGUGAGGAGUUCCCCGAGGAGGAGUCUCGGCUUGUCGGGAGUCUUCUUCUAGGAGCGCCUCAGCGGAUGCUUGUCUUCUAGUAAGUCUUCCUUCUAGUUGCCUUUCAUCUGAGUACUUCCAGUAUUUACUUUCUGUCUUAGUUUAUUUUAAGUAUACAACCGGCCUACUGGCACAUUGCUUUGCCUUAUGUGAAGUGCUCGAAACCUUAGCUGGGUCUAGAGUAGUAGAAUUAGUGUAGAUGUGGUGUCUACACUAAGUCUGCCCUUGUGGACUUCUUGUCACACCUGAAGAACGCCAGCAGCAAAGCGGGAUAGGCCUCUACUGGACAUUAGGAGUUCUCUUCAAUGUGUUGUUAGGCAAGUUGCAAAUAAUAGUUGGCCUGGAUGGUAGUUGCCUAGGGAAGUGUUUCGCCACACCCUUUUCACCUAUUGGCCAUAGUAGGAAGGGAGUUAACUCUUAGUAUGCUUAGGAGAGCUUAGCCAGAAGCCAAACACUAGAAAUACCUCUCCACCUAAUCCUGAGCCCUUUGAUCAUCAUCCGACGACUCAAUUGGUCUAGUUAAUUCAUUUCUCGUUCCUUGUGGAAAAUACGAUACCUGGCAUACUCCUGGUGAAGUGCUGCAUUGACCACCAUCCGCUUGCGGUAAAACCGUUUGCCACUUUUGGUGUCACACAAGCAUUUCUAGUGUUGUGCCAAGGACUCACAAUCCUAGAUAGUGACACUAAGAAGAGUUAACAAGCAUUUCUGGCGCCAUUGCCGGGGAUCGGUAGCUGACCUAACUUAGAACCAAGUCGUCUGACUUAUCCUUCUUUUACCUUUAUUUUCUUUUAUCCUUUCCACUGCAUGUUUGCAUAGUAUUGCAUAAAUCUUGUGCUUUCUUGGGUAGCUCCUAGUCUUUGAGUUGUAUUCGAGCAUCAUGCCUAGUUUAGAUUUUAUUGUUGUCUACCUAUUCAGGCUCCUAGUAUAGCUUGUGGUAGUCGAAUGUUAAACGGGAACAUCCCACCUCAUAUAUCGGCUUUAAUAGUCGGUAUGAUGAUAUCCUUUGGAUGGGCCACGCCACAGGAAAAAGCUAAAGCCUAGAUGUUCAUGCAUAUCACUCAUUUAUUGUUAAUCUUUAUUUUAACCACAGCAUAUUUGUUUAAAUGCAUUCAUCUUCCACUUUGCAUUGCCAUGCAUAUAAAAAUUAAAUAAUAAUAACAAUAAUAAGAAAAAAAAUAUUUGCCUCUUGUCUUCAUCACUCAUUAUCUUGUCUCUAGUAUAAUGAAUCUUGUUCAUCCUAUCAUGCUCCCUCUUUCUAUGUUAGUAUGCUUUGGUUUGGUCAUACUAAUCGCUCGAGUGAGUACCUCCAUAGUCUUUUUAAAUUAAGCAUGGUGCUUAGGUUAAAUAGACUACCUUAAUCAAACAAGACAUGGUGUUAAGUUUGAUUAUUGAACCAAACAUACUUGCAUGGAACUUGGCUGCACUUUUGGACUAACCCCUGCAGCAAGAACAUCGAUAUCUCUAUGGGUAAGUCAUGAGAUCAUUCAUGGAGACAACUUGAGUUCCUCAUGGUCAAAGACAAGUUUCUUGGCCAAAGAGAACUUCGAUGCAACUAAGAAGGGCCAAUGCUAAGACUCAUCAUCUUUGAGGUAAGUGGCCACCUUCUUAAGAGUUUUCUAGGAGUUUGAUCCUUAAUAGAAGAAGUUGACAUGCUAGAACACAACCUUGCUAAAGAUUCAACAAGACUAAAAUCUACAUGUCUUAACUUCUUUUAUAUAUUUUGUGUGGAUUGGCUUUUAGGAUAGCAUGAAUACACUUAUGUUAGUCCUUAAGACAAAACUGGUCUUGGGGAGCCUCCAUUAUGGGGUCGGGCGACCUGAUCUUAGUAGCUAACCAAGCCUAUGUUUGGCCAAACCAUCUAUGGCAUGUGGGGAAGUACAAAUCCAGAACCUGUUUGCUCUAGAACUUCCAAACUGGGGUCAGGUGACCUGGACUUAGUACCCACUAUGGCUCAAACUUGGCCAGACCACUUCUAGUCACCAAAAAAGUGUAGUACCCGAACUUGCUUGCUCUCUACCCAAUAACUAGGGGUCAGGAGACCCCUACUUGAUAGGAUGCAUGUAUCUCGAAAGUGGUCCUACGAAAGGAAGAGUUGAGGGAGAAGUGUGAACUUUGGUUUCCACCGAGGUGGGGUCGGGCGACCCAUAGUUGGGAAACCCAAUCUGACCUAGAGUGUCGUGCCAACACUUAGAAACUAUUCCUAGUUACAACUCUUGUGAAAAAAAGUUUGUAAUAUUUGCCAAUAGCUUUCCCUGGCCUUCCCUCUUCUUGUUCUCCAUCCCAAUGCUCCUGGUCUCAAACUCAACACCUUCUAGCCCCCUAUAUGCCUCUCGAGUUACCUUGAGUAGCCUCUCGUGGUCCCCAGUAGCACAAAUGUCAUCAAUUCUAUUAGUGAGGCCCCCUUUAAUCAUGAAGGAGACUAGCUAUGAAACCAGAGAUCACCAUGGAGGCCAUUGUGCUUAAAGGAGAACCAUACCAUGCCUCCAAGAACCACAAGGCAAAGGUACGCAAGUGUGGCAAGAGGAGGUGCAAUCUUGGUCCAUAUCUCCAGGGCCAUCUGAAGCACCCAAGCAAUAAAUAAGAUGGAGAGGUCCUGCUCUAUGGACCUAAAUUAUGGAGCCCUUGCUGAUAAGGUAAAUCAGUACUUAUCCCAUCUUUACUCAUUGCAUUCCAAUUCUUGCAUUUCCCUUCCAAUUGCAUGCUUAGUUUAGUUUUGCAUAUUUCCCUUCGACAAAAUGCUUAGGAAUAAUAAAUAAAAAUCUUGAGAACAACUUGCAAUACAGUUUUGACCUGUGGAUCAUCUAGAGGUGGGGUCGGCCGACCCCACAAUUGGGCCCACUUGCAGUCUUUCACUUCGGCUUGAUGCAAUGUGUCGAGGUCAGCACUUGGAUGCUCCUGAAGCUUUCAAGUUGGGGUUGGUCGACCCUAAGACUUACCGUUUUGGCAGUCUACUAUCACCCAUUUGCUUUGCUUUAGAAUCCCAUGCAUGACACACAAGCCAAAGUCUGAAAAGAAAUGGUUCGUUUGGGACCUAUGCACCAGCUUAAACCUGCAAAGUGGUCUCCUAGACAUGCUCUAGUGCUGUCAUGAUCACGGACAACCACUUUAAGCAUAUGUCCACUUUUGAAAAUCAUCUUUUCUCUUGCACAUAGCACUAGGCAAGGGACUCUUAUAAAAGAACUUUACAUCUUGUCCACGCCUAGGCUUUAGUUUAGUAGACACUUAAUGCCACAUCAUUUAGAGUGCUAAAGUGCUUAGGGUAUGGGUUGGCCGACCUCUACAUUGGCUAAUCUCUGGAAAAGAGUUCAUAUAUGUUGCAAGAUUCCCUGCCAUGAUUCAAAAUUUUGAAACAUAGUGCUUAUGGGGAGGUCGGCCGACCCCCACAUUAGGGUGUUCACCACUUGCCCUUCUUACCCUAUAAAUACCCAUGCAUUGUGAGCUCAAUUCCACACCCGAAACCACCAAAAUUAUCUCGAGCUCACAAUCCCUCUUCUCUCUUCUUAGUUGCAAGUUAUUUCUCAAGAUUAGAAUAGUUGUCCUAAAAAAACCAAAAAAAAUAUUUAGUUUUGCGUAGGAGUAGAAGUAGGAAAAAGUUAGAUUGUCUGUGUUGUGCAGGAAAAUGGAGAAAGCAUUCCUCUCUCAAUUCUAGAAGUCCAACUCAAAGCACUCAUCACUCUAAUGAGGGAAGCCAUGAGAGGAUGGAGGAAGGGGAGAGUCACCAUUGUUGGGUAUUUUAAACGCAAACAGAAAAAUCCGCAAGCGCACGGAUACCGAUGUAGCUUUCACCCGGGAGUAUUCCAGAGUAUCGAUUUUCCACAGGGAACGUGAGUGUACUAAUUAAGAUCCAAGAUCGCCCAAGGAUAACUAUAUAAUUACUUUUGGUGGGAAGAGAGGAAGUUUUCUGAGAGUUCUCUAGUUGAUCUAAGAAUCAAGAAUUACUUCAAGAUUAUCUAUAUCGGGACAUCAGAGCACUAACCACAGAAAGAGAUGAGAAGGGGGCUAGGAAGGUGUGACUACGGUCCUACAAACACCGAUCCGAACGAGGUGGAAUACGUCGACCGUUAGGGCUGUCACUACCCUAAGGCUACCACAACAAUCCGCAGGAUUGGGUGCAAUUCCAGGUAAUUGCAAGACUAAACACCACGUCUAAUCUAUUAAUUACUACUCUAAUGUUGCAAAGAUUAGAGCACUUGAUGCAAGCGAGAAUCCAAUAAAUAACUUGAAUGUAAAUAAAAGUAAUUAAAGAACUCAGGAUUAUGAAUUGAAGAACCUGGAGAACGAUGAAGAACGAACCAGUUGCUGCAAAAGUACAAUGUUGAGGAAGAUCCGACAGAUCCGGCUCCUCCUCCGCUCUCCUCUUCUCUCUCCCUAUUUUCUAGAUUACAACUAGAACUAACUAGAACUAGAACUAGAAGAACUAGAACUAGAACUAGAUGAACUAGAACUAGAUCUAGAUGAACUAGAGGUAGAACUAGAAGAACUAGAGGGAUCCUCUCUACUUGGAUGAAGAAUUGAAACCCUAGCUUUGAUUCUGUAGAAGAGGUAUGAUCUCCAGGGGCCAGGGGGGUCUGGUUUCAUAGUCCCUUCAAGUGAAUCUGGGCCGUCGGAUCAAACCGACAUUGAUCGUGUGGUUUUCCUUGAAGUAUUAGGUCGGUGGAGCAUGAUCCCCGAACUUCACCCUGAUUGGUCCAGGGGGAAGGGCGGGCGCCCUCAGGACUAGGGCGGGCGCCCUGACCCUCAGGCCUCUCGUCUUCCGCUUCGGUCCCGUGGCUUCUGGAGUCUUCUAGAUGAUAGAAAAUUACACGGCACGUUAAUAUCUCUAUGUAUACCCAACGUGUGGGCCUUUCCUCCAUAUUUCCUGAUAACCCCCUGCAGAAAUAGACAAACACCAAAACUCGUGGAAUUCUGUCAGAUAAAACCCUAAGUCUAGGUGUUGGUUGCAUUUGGAUCCUUUUCUAUGAUUAGUUGAUGGUUAAUUGUGAGCAUUAAGGACCGUCAACAAGCUCCCCCAAGCUUAACCUUUGCUCGUCCCUGAGCAAAGAUGGACUCAAGAGUUUCUACAGUGGUUUCAUAACUUAAAGAUACACAUGCGUUUAAACAAGAUCUCAUCUCUGGUUAGAGUAAACUGUUAAGACUUAAAACUUACUCAUUUACCUUUCACCAUGGGACUUGUAACCGUCACUUCUGUCUUGAGUAGUUAAAAGAUAGAACGGUCUAGUCAAGCACCAUGUCUCUUAUUCUUGAUCAGCUAUAGCUCUGGAGUUUUUGCAGAUUUUCAAAUAAAACUCAGAGAUUCCUUGUAUGACUCUCUCUAGUCUCUCUUUUGUGGUAUUUCUGGAUCCUUACCAAGGCAUUAAUGGUGUAUGCCUUCUCUCAAAGUAUGUGGUAUUUGUGGUAUGAGGCAUAGUGACAUUGCCUUCUCUCUCACCCUACUCUAAUAAGGCUUUUAAUAUCUGGAGCUCAUAGGUGGGAGACAGCUAAUACAUACUUACAAGACAUUUAUUGCAUAGUCAAACCAUGGAUCCAAAAGAACAAGUCAAUAAGUCAAAUCAAGAUGUGCAUGUGUGGCGAAUGAAUACCAUGGUGAAAGUCUAAUUCUACUUUUGCUCUUUUGAGGGGAUACAUACCUUCCUUGCUCUUUUGAAACUUUUGGGGAGAAUGAGAUGCUCUAUAUUUUAUUUUUCUUUCUUUUUUUUUCUCUCAGGUGGGUAUCUUGUACCCCUAAUUCUACUGUCGGACACUUGUCCAUUUUUACCUCUCGUCUCACUUUUUUUUCUUUUCUUUCGAGGUUUCGGGCACUUGCCCCCUUUUUAUUUCCUCGUAUUUAUUUUUUUCUCUCUCUUUUUUUUAGAGCACUCAUCUCAUGAGAUAAUAUAGCAAGUGGUAGUAACAAGAUAACUUGAGCAUUUAUUUCACAGGGGAAAAACAGAAAUAUUUUUGGCUAUUCUCUCCCGGAUUAGGAGUAGAAUAUUUUUGGGUGGUUCUGGAGAUGGAAAUGGAUAUAUGUGGAUGCGUACUUCCGGAGUAGAAGCAGCAUGUAUGAGUGAACAUGCAAGUGAAUCUUGACUUAACCACAUGACAAGCUCCUAAGGGUCUACACAGCUUGACCACACUCAAUGCUCAUAAGCAGUAGAGUAAAUGUGUGGCUCAAAGUUUAGCAAGCAUGUAUAUAUGGCUGUGGUAGGAAUUUAAACUCUCAUCAUACAGGAACUCAUCAUGUGAUAUUUUAAAGAUUUUUAAAGAUAAAAUUCUCCAGAAUUCUAGCAUCUCUAGGAACAGAUAAACAGCAACUCAACCUUCCCAUAUCAUAUCCGUUAACGACUUAGACUUUAGAUCAAGUACUCUUCCCACAAGUUCAGGUUUAAAGCAAAUCUUAAAUAAUAACAGUCAUGCCUAAACUUGAGAGAGAUUUCAAUUUUAGGAACUAGUCAUGGCAGAGCAACUAUUCAUCAUUUCCAUAUGAGAGCUUAUCAUGAGGGUUCAUAGCAAAUUUUAUUUAUUUAUUUAUUUAGCAAACUAAGCAAAGAUAUAUAUAAGCACAAAAUAUUUAUUUGGGUUUUUAUGAUUAUGCAUCUUUUUAUUAUUUGAGUAAAGUAUAAACGUGAGUAGAACACUUAGCUGGAUAAAUGGGGGUGCUCUCCCCCAAGCUGGAUUUUGACGUAAUUCCUUGUGAUGUAGCUAGCAGGUGGCGGAGGUGUAUUUGAAUGUUGGCAGCACCCUGACAGUGAUUAGGAUGUCCUCCGUUUGCUAGUCUUCUUUGAUCCUUGAAUUCUGUGGAGCUCAAAUAGACAACAAAGCUUUGUGGAACUGGUUAAGUGUUAGCAUAAAUAUCUAGCCUUUAUCAUGUUGAGCCUCCUCAAUAAAUAUUACACUCUUUAGUAGGAUCAUAAAUUUAUUUUUUAUAAUUUUAUCUUUAUAGGAUAGGAAUAUAUAUAUAUAUAUUUCAAUUUUAUGCCACCACAGUGAAUGUACUUAUGGGUUUUAUGCCAUGAGUAUACUCACAUGGGGCUUACUAUUUUUAAGAUUUUUAUUUUCUUUUCAAGAUGAUAUGAACCUGAUUAACUAAAAUAAUUGAAAGGAAAAAGAUAACUACCAAGUUUACCUCUUGGCAAGGCGUUCGGUGUUUUUACGUCCUCCGAACGGGACUCUCCGUUUUCUCAAUCGUCCUAGGAUUCGCUGGAUGGCGUAGUCGGUGGUUCCGGCGGCGCCUGCUCUUCAUGUAUAACUAUCUUCUCUCUACACACCUGACUCGGUGCUACGGUCUCCUCAGGACAGUUUUGUUCAAGCUGUAUGUCUUCAGACAUUACAACUUCUCCUUCAUAGUCUACCCAUCCGUCCUUGAUGAUCUGCCUUCUCUGGUUGCGGUUGCGUCGUCUUCUUCUUGUCCUGACCUGCUUA
rnacentral:lncRNA from 1 species